AUGAAUUCUUACAUUUCGAUCGUUUUUCUUUUAACAUUCCGUGUUUUCUGCAGUGACACACGUUGCACGCUCAUCCUCCUAAGCCCCAAAUAUUCCAUGGCCACGUAUUUCGACCCGGACCGUCAGUCGAACGUAGACUACACAAAUGUCAAGAAGGUUCUUGAUGAUGUUCUCCCCGGCUACGCCAAAUCUGGAGGCACCUUCACCAGGCCUAUUCGUAAGUACGGCAAGCACGUGUUCUCCCACAAUAUGACGUUCUACUGCGUCAAGCAGCCGCCUGGCGGUCAGAAGGGUGCCUACUACGCCAUCCAUCACAUGCGGGCGAUCGUACGGGACCAUCAUCAACUUCUGCUACCGAGUAAACUCAAAGAUUGGGCCGCGAGCGUGUCGGCAAUCCAGGACACGGACCUCCGACAAGAAUUCUUUCGCAUCCAGUCGGAGUUUGCGGAAAUCAUCCAUCAAGAUGUCCUUCGUACCUCGGGGCAGUUCUACCUCAGAAAUCAACCGUCCAACAGUGACAUCGACACAAUGCUACAAAUGCAGGCUGACAACGACCGUUAUUUCAUGACUCCCACGAUAGACGGCGGCUUCAUCCACGCUCCGGUCCCUUGA
rnacentral:rRNA from 1 species